AGUUUUUCCAACAAAUAGUGUCUUAUGCUCCAAAUAAGAUUUAUAAAUGAAUGCAAAGUAGAGUAUCAUGUUUCCUCGCGGGCCACACGCUUAGUUUAUUAAAAAUAUGAGCGCGAGAGAUCGACAGCCAUAUGUGACAUUGAGCUGUGACAUUUGCUCUCUUAGGCCUUGUUUAGUUACUAAAAAUUUUCAAGAUUUUUCAUCAUAUUGAAUUUUUGUACACAUACAUGAAGUACUAAAUAUAGACGAAAAUAAAAACUAAUUGUACAGUUACCUGUAAUUUGCGAGAUGAAUCUUUUGAGCCUAGUUAUUCCAUAAUUGGACAAUAAUUAUCACAUACAAACGAAAGUGCUACAGUAGCUAAAAACAAAAUUUUUCGCGAACUGAACAAAGCCUUACUUUUUGAAAAACAAAUUUCAGUUUUCAUAUUUUAAUACUAUACUAUACUAUACUAUACUAUACUAUACUAUACUAUACUAUACUAUACUAUACUAUACUAUACUAUACUAUACUAUACUAUACUAUACUAUACUAUACUAUACUAUACUAUACUAUAAGUUCAACACUCGCCUCCUCGUAUAAACCGCACCGAUAAAGACAAUGUAACCAUAAAAAAAACCUAUAUUGAACAACAC
rnacentral:lncRNA from 1 species